UACGUAGGGGGCAAGCGUUGUCCGGAAUCAUUGGGCGUAAAGAGCGUGUAGGCGGCCUGGUAAGUCCGCUGUGAAAGUCCAGGGCUCAACCCUGGAAUGCCGGUGGAAACUGUCAGGCUCGAGUCCGGAAGAGGCGAGUGGAAUUCCUGGUGUAGCGGUGGAAUGCGCAGAUAUCAGGAGGAACACCGAUGGCGAAGGCAGCUCGCUGGGACGGUACUGACGCUGAGGCGCGAAAGCGUGGGGAGCGAACAGG
rnacentral:rRNA from 1 species